rnacentral:rRNA from 1 species
CAGAGAACUACUAGCAAUCGCUUAAAACUCAAAGGACUUGGCGGUGCUUUAAACCCCCUAGAGGAGCCUGUUCUAUAACCGAUAAACCCCGAUAAACCUCACCACCCCUUGCUAAUCCAGUCUAUAUACCGCCAUCUUCAGCGAACCCUUAAAAGGAAAAAAAGUAAGCAUAAUUAUCUCACAUAAAAAAGUUAGGUCAAGGUGUAACCUAUGGGAUGGGAAGAAAUGGGCUACAUUUUCUACUCAAGAAUAGUCUACGAAAAUUUUUAUGAAACUAAAAACUAAAGGCGGAUUUAGUAGUAAACUAAGAAUAGAGAGCUUAGUUGAAUAGGGCAAUGAAGCACGCACACACCGCCCGUCACCCUCCUGCAGUCAA